AGUGACACAGAAGAUCUUAUAGGGUUCUCAAGUGCAAACCUUUCUUCUAGGGUUCUUGGCCAAAGCAUGGAAGGAGAGUGUAGAAGAAGAAGAGACAGAUCGAAGAGUGGCUCGUUGCUGACAACAAGACCAAAACCCUCUUCGAGCUCCAAACAAGGUCAAAUCUCGGUACGCUCUCGUUCUUCUCGUGAUGAAGAUGACACUCACAGAGUUCGUUCAUCUGGUAAGUAAUCGCUUUGUUCGUUGAUAUUACUGGUAAUCCCUAGAACCCUAAAUUUCUAAAAUCGGAAAGCCAUAAUCCCUUUUUUCUUUCUUUCAUUGGAACAUAACGCUCUGUGGUGUGGUUUGCAAGACGUUGUUGCCUUGUUACUAGAUUUCGAUUGAGGCACGGUGUUGCAGUUUAGAAAGAUGUGAAGUAUGAUCGUGGAUCCUUUACGACUUUUCAUUAUGGUUCAAGUACCUUACCUAAUCAAGUUUAGAAAUUCUUAAUUGAUUUCUCUGUUCAUUAACAGAAACGUUUAUGUAUAACAUACAGUAGCUAGUUAUUAGGGUGGAGUGAAACCAGCAGCAACUGGCAUAGAGCAUUAUGCAUAUUUCAACUGGCCAAGAUUAGAGUUAUUCACUGGACAAGAUUUCAAUUUGGAUCCCAAACUAAUGAUUCAUUACAGCAUCCUUUCCACUUGUUCUGUAAAGUAAAAUCUUUUGGCAAAGCUACAUUNN
rnacentral:lncRNA from 1 species